AGUGAACGCUGGCGGCAGGCCUAACACAUGCAAGUCGAACGGCAGCACAGUAAGAGCUUGCUCUUACGGGUGGCGAGUGGCGGACGGGUGAGGAAUAUAUCGGAAUCUACUUUUUCGGGGGGGAUAACGUAGGGAAACUUACGCUAAUACAGCAUAUGACCUACGGGUGAAAGCAGGGGAUCUUCGGACCUUGCGCGAUUGAAUGAGCCGAUGUCGGAUUAGCUAGUUGGCGGGGUAAAGGCCCACCAAGGCGACGAUCCGUAGCUGGUCUGAGAGGAUGAUCAGCCACACUGGAACUGAGACACGGUCCAGACUCCUACGGGAGGCAGCAGUGGGGAAUAUUGGACAAUGGGCGCAAGCCUGAUACAGCCAUACCGCGUGGGUGAAGAAGGCCUUCGGGUUGUAAAGCCCUUUUGUUGGGGAAGAACAGCAGCAGGUUAAUACCCCGCUGUUCUGACGGUACCCAAAGAAUAAGCACCGGCUAACUUCGUG
rnacentral:rRNA from 1 species